UAAUACGUAGGGUGCGAGCGUUAAUCGGAAUUACUGGGCGUAAAGCGUGCGCAGGCGGUUUGGUAAGACAGGCGUGAAAUCCCCGGGCUUAACCUGGGAACUGCGCUUGUGACUGCCAGGCUAGAGUACGGCAGAGGGGGGUGGAAUUCCACGUGUAGCAGUGAAAUGCGUAGAGAUGUGGAGGAACACCAAUGGCGAAGGCAGCCCCCUGGGUCGAUACUGACGCUCAUGCACGAAAGCGUGGGUAGCAAACAGG
rnacentral:rRNA from 1 species